UACGAGAGGCCCAAACGUUAUUCGGAUUUACUGGGCUUAAAGAGUUCGUAGGCGGCGCAGAAAGUAGGGUGUGAAAGCCCUCGGUUCAACCGAGGAAUUGCGCCCUAAACUACUGUGCUAGAGGAAGCUAGAGGUGAGCAGAACAGAUGGUGGAGCGGUGAAAUGCGCAGAUAUCAGGAAGAACACCCGUGGCUAAGGCGGCUCUCUAGUACGGUACUGACGCUGAGACGCGAAAGCGUGGGGAGCGAACAGG
rnacentral:rRNA from 1 species